rnacentral:lncRNA from 1 species
UUUUAUUUUUAUUUGUUAAGUAAGCUACAUUAAGGAAAAAAGCAUUACUUUCACUUCUUUCCCAUCUUAAUUACCUGAUCCUUCAGGCAUUAGUAAGACCAAGUAGUCUACAACAGCACUAGUUUCAUUCUUUUCAGAAGGUUCUGAAGCCUUCUUUGCAUAGCAUGUAAGAUGAGGAUAAGAGAAAGAAUUUACUGUUUGCCUCUGCCAACUGUAACACUUAAAAACCUCACAGCUUCCUAUUGGCCCCAGACACAGUAAUUAACCAAUAUUAUGGACACAGAAGACUAAGCGUUUUUAAUUUUUUAAAAUGCAAGUUUCAUAAUUACAAACUUUAAAAAUCUUUAAACAACAAAAUGUUUCUACCUCUUGGUCAUUCAGCACAUCAGUUUGUGUAAAGAAUUCAACCAGCGCAUAUAGGAAGCCAAGAUCUAAUCUGAGAUCCAUCUCUUGAAUCAGGACCUUAAAAUACCUACACAUGAAACAAAACCCAAUUAUUAAGGUCUUUUGCAAAAAUGCAUAGCAUACAAAACUUAAUCUAGGGUAUUCAGGACACAUAUAUUGAGUUCAGGUUUUUUGUUUUAUUAGGUUUGUUCUGUUUUGGGUUUGUUUGUUUGUUUGUUCUGUUUUUUGUUUUGUUUUGUUGUUGGGUUUUUUUGAGGGAUUCACCAUUGCUAGUGAAAAGCAGGCUCCCCGUAGUGGUGUAAGACAAAUGCGUUUCCUGUAAUCAGAAUAAUUUUAAUCAAGUAGCAUCAUUUAAAAGUGUAUAUAGCACUGUUUUUUAUAAAUUAAAAGAAGACUAGAAAUCUUCAUUAAAAAGAUGCUUUAAAAUCCUUGCUUCACUCUGCAAUUAUGUAUAUAAUAAAGCAGGCUGAGCUUUUAUUUCUAAGUGCUCUGAUCUUUCCGAGAAUGAGUUGGUGUAAAAUUAUCUAGCAUUAUGUUUUCCCUUAUAACAAUUUUAAUUUUAAAGCUUCAUUAAACAUGAUCAAUAGCAAAAAAAGAUGGAGCAUGUCAAAAUACUUACUUAAUAUGAGAUAUUUCUGAAUGUCCUGCAGUUCUCAUAACAAUACUGACAUCAGUAAAUGGUUUUGGUGCUAUGAAGUUGUAAAACAAGAAGAAAUCAGCACGAAUUUUUAUAUGAUAGAAUACCUUUAUAUUUUUUAAUAUGAAAAUGUCAUACAUGUUCAGGAUUUUCUC